CUUUUACAAUGAAGAGUUUGAUCCUGGCUCAGGAUGAACGCUAGCUACAGGCUUAACACAUGCAAGUCGAGGGGCAGCAUGAAUAUUGGCUUGCCAAUAUUUGAUGGCGACCGGCGCACGGGUGAGUAACACGUAUCCAACCUUCCGGUUACUCGGGGAUAGGCUUUCGAAAGAAAGAUUAAUACCCGAUGUUGCGUAUCUUUCUCCUGAAAGAUACGCCAAAGGAUUCCGGUAACCGAUGGGGAUGCGUUCCAUUAGGCAGUUGGCGGGGUAACGGCCCACCAAACCUUCGAUGGAUAGGGGUUCUGAGAGGAAGGUCCCCCACAUUGGAACUGAGACACGGUCCAAACUCCUACGGGAGGCAGCAGUGAGGAAUAUUGGUCAAUGGACGGAAGUCUGAACCAGCCAAGUAGCGUGAAGGAUGACUGCCCUCUGGGUUGUAAACUUCUUUUAUACGGGAAUAACAUGAGGUACGCGUACCUUAUUGCAUGUACCGUUAUGAAUAAGCAUCGGCUAACUCCGUGCCAGCAGCCGCGGUAAUACGGAGGAUGCGAGCGUUAUCCGGAUUUAUUGGGUUUAAAGGGAGCGUAGGUGGGAUAUUAAGUCAGCUGUGAAAGUUUGGGGCUCAACCUUAAAAUUGCAGUUGAUACUGGUUUCCUUGAGUACGGUACAGGUGGGCGGAAUUCGUGGUGUAGCGGUGAAAUGCUUAGAUAUCACGAAGAACUCCGAUCGCGAAGGCAGCUCACCGGGCCGGAACUGACACUGAUGCUCGAAAGUGCGGGUAUCAAACAGGAUUAGAUACCCUGGUAGUCCGCACAGUAAACGAUGAAUACUCGCUGUUUGCGAUACACAGUAAGCGGCCAAGCGAAAGCGUUAAGUAUUCCACCUGGGGAGUACGCCGGCAACGGUGAAACUCAAAGGAAUUGACGGGGGCCCGCACAAGCGGAGGAACAUGUGGUUUAAUUCGAUGAUACGCGAGGAACCUUACCCGGGCUUAAAUUGCGCUGGCUUUUACCGGAAACGGUAUUUUCUUCGGACCAGCGUGAAGGUGCUGCAUGGUUGUCGUCAGCUCGUGCCGUGAGGUGUCGGCUUAAGUGCCAUAACGAGCGCAACCCUUAUCUUUAGUUACUAACAGUUUUGCUGAGGACUCUAAAGAGACUGCCGUCGUAAGAUGCGAGGAAGGUGGGGAUGACGUCAAAUCAGCACGGCCCUUACGUCCGGGGCUACACACGUGUUACAAUGGGGAGCACAGCAGGUUGCUACACGGCGACGUGAUGCCAAUCCGUAAAACUCCUCUCAGUUCGGAUCGAAGUCUGCAACCCGACUUCGUGAAGCUGGAUUCGCUAGUAAUCGCGCAUCAGCCACGGCGCGGUGAAUACGUUCCCGGGCCUUGUACACACCGCCCGUCAAGCCAUGAAAGCCGGGGGUACCUGAAGUACGUAACCGCGAGGAUCGUCCUAGGGUAAACCUGGUGAUUGGGGCUAAGUCGUAACAAGGUAGCCGUACCGGAAGGUGCGGCUGGAACACCUCCUUUCUGGAGC
rnacentral:rRNA from 1 species